rnacentral:rRNA from 1 species
AGAGUUUGAUCAUGGCUCAGAUUGAUCGCUGGCGGCAGGCUUAACACAUGCAAGUCGAGCGGAAACAGAGAAUAGCUUGCUAUUCAGAUGUCGAGCGGCGGACGGGUGAGUAACGCGUAGGAAUCUACCUAUUAGUGGGGGAUAGCCCAGAGAAAUUUGGAUUAAUACCGCAUACGCCCUACGGGGGAAAGGAGGGGACUCUUCGGAGCCUUUCGCUAUUAGAUGAGCCUGCGUAAGAUUAGCUAGAUCGUGGGGUAAAGGCCUACCAUGGCGACGAUCUUUAGCUGGUUUGAGAGGAUGAUCAGCCACACUGGGACUGAGACACGGCCCAGACUCCUACGGGAGGCAGCAGUGGGGAAUAUUGCACAAUGGGCGCAAGCCUGAUGCAGCCAUGCCGCGUGUGUGAAGAAGGCCUUCGGGUUGUAAAGCACUUUCAGCUGUGAGGAAAGGUUACAUAUUAAUACUAUGUAGCUGUGACGUUGACAGCAGAAGAAGCACCGGCUAACUCCGUGCCAGCAGCCGCGGUAAUACGGAGGGUGCAAGCGUUAAUCGGAAUUACUGGGCGUAAAGCGCGCGUAGGCGGUUAUUUAAGUCAGAUGUGAAAGCCCUGGGCUCAACCUUGGAACUGCACCUGAUACUGGAUAACUAGAGUGCAGAAGAGGUGGUGGAAUUUCCUGUGUAGCGGUGAAAUGCGUAAAUAUAGGAAGGAACAUCAGUGGCGAAGGCGGACACCUGGUCUGAUACUGACGCUGAGUGCGGAAGCGUGGGGAGCAACAGGAUUAGAUACCCUGGUAGUCCACGCCGUAAACGAUUUUACUAGCCGUUGGAGAGCUUGUCUCUUUAGUGGCGCAGCUAACGCAUUUAAGUAGACCGCCUGGGGAGUACGGUCGCAAGAUUAAAACUCAAAUGAAUUGACGGGGGCCCGCACAAGCGGUGGAGCAUGUGGUUUAAUUCGACGCAACGCGAAGAACCUUACCAACUCUUGACAUCCUGAGAACUCGCUAGAGAUAGCUUGGUGCCUUCGGGAGCUCAGAGACAGGUGCUGCAUGGCUGUCGUCAGCUCGUGUUGUGAAAUGUUGGGUUAAGUCCCGUAACGAGCGCAACCCUUAUCCUUAUUUGCCAGCGGGUCAUGCCGGGAACUCUAAGGAGACUGCCGGUGACAAACCGGAGGAAGGUGGGGACGACGUCAAGUCAUCAUGGCCCUUACGAGUUGGGCUACACACGCGCUACAAUGGCCGGUACAGAGGGCCGCAAACCCGCGAGGGGGAGCCAAUCUCACAAAACCGGUCGUAGUCCGGAUCGGAGUCUGCAACUCGACUCCGUGAAGUUGGAAUCGCUAGUAAUCGUGAAUCAGAACGUCACGGUGAAUACGUUCCCGGGCCUUGUACACACCGCCCGUCACACCAUGGGAGUGGAUUGCACCAGAAGUAGCUAGCUUAACCUUUCGGGGAGAGCGGUUACCACGGUGUGGUUCAUGACUGGGGUGAAGUCGUAACAAGGUAACCGUA